UACGGGGGGGGUAAGCGUUGUUCGGAAUUACUGGGCGUAAAGGGCUCGUAGGCGGCCAACUAAGUCGGACGUGAAAUCCCUCAGCUUAACUGGGGAACUGCGUCCGAUACUGGAUGGCUUGGAUUUGGGAGAGGGAUGCGGAAUUCCAGGUGUAGCGGUGAAAUGCGUAGAUAUCUGGAGGAACACCGGUGGCGAAGGCGGCGAUCCUGGACCAAUAUUGACGCUGAGGAGCGAAAGCCAGGGGAGCAAACGGG
rnacentral:rRNA from 1 species